GCUUGUCUCAAAGAUUAAGCCAUGCAUGUCUAAGUAUAAACAAAUCUAUACGUGAAACUGCGAAUGGCUCAUUAUAUCAGUUAUAGUUUAUUUGAUGGUUCUUGCUACUUGGAUAACCGUAGUAAUUCUAGAGCUAAUACAUGCGCAAAUACCCAACUGCUUGUCGGACGGGUAGCAUUUAUUAGAUUGAAACCAAUGCAGUCUUCGGGCUGGUAUUGUGUUGAGUCAUAAUAACUGUGCGGAUCGCGUUUUACGCGAUAAAUCGAUUGAGUUUCUGCCCUAUCAGCUUUGGAUGGUAGGAUAUGGGCCUACCAUGGCAUUAACGGGUAACGGGGAAUUAGGGUUUGAUUCCGGAGAGGGAGCCUGAGAGACGGCUACCACAUCCAAGGAAGGCGCAGG
rnacentral:rRNA from 1 species